CAGAGACCCUACUCCCAGGGAUGGUAUUACCCCAGAGACCACCCCUUUGCCAGAAACCCCAUUUUCAGAGACCCCCUGUCCCCAGAGACCCCAUUCCCAGAGACCCUCCCAUCCUCACACCCCCGUUCCCAGAGAUCCUCAGCCCCAGAGACCCCUCAUUCCCAGACCCCUCAUUCCCAGACCCCUCAUUCCCAGAGACCCCCCCCAUUCCCAGAACCCCCAUUCCCGGAUACCCCAUUCCCAGAGACUCCACUCCCCCCUCCCCAAAUCCAGGGCAUUUUUUCCUGCUUUCCCAGAAGCCACCAAGCCGUGUCCCCCACCGGUGCCACCCAGGCCACCACCCCGUGUCCCUGGGCCACCUCCAGGGACUGUCCCCCAUGGAUGGAUCCCUGUUCCAGCCCCAGUUUUCCCAGCUGGGAUCGAGCCCCACAGCUGAGAUGGAGAUCUCCAGAUGGAGAUUUGGGGGUCCCGUGGGAUUUACGGGGUUGCUCACGCUGAUCCCGAGGAUGAGGAAUUAUCCACGAGCCAAAAAUAUCCCAGGAUAAACCCCACCUUUCCCAGCUCAUCCCGGCUCUUCCGGGCGGCUUUGAUGUUCCCGGGACAGGGGGAGCAGAGGAAACCCCACCCGGGCUGUGGGGUCCGGGGCGGAGGUGGCAUCACGGGUGGGCACGAGGUGAUCCCGUGGGAUCCGGGGGGAUCCUCUGGGAUCCCAGCAGGGCAGCGGGAAAGCGGGAUCAGCCCAUCCAUGCUGGAGCUGGCUCCUUUUGGGGUCCCGCCUGGAGGGGAGCGGUCACCAGCGCUCCCAGCACGGCCCCCACAGCGGGAAUGGGGCGGAUCCCGGGGAAUGGGGCGGAUCCCGGGGAAUGGGGCGGAUCCCAUGGAAAUGAGGAGGAUCCCAUGGAAUUGGGGUGGAUCCCAUGGAAACGCGGGAGAUCCUGACCUCUCCGCCGACCCCUGGCUCUGCCCCCCUCCCAGCCCGGGAGCAGCUCCGGCGAUCCCGGCACAGCCGCACCUUCCUGGUGGAGUCGGGAGUGGGCGAGCUCUGGUCGGAGAUGCAGGCAGGUGACAGGUACAUCGUGGCCGACUGUGGCGGGGGAACGGUGGAUUUGACCGUGCACCAGAUCGAGAAGCCGCAGGGGACGCUGAAGGAGCUCUACAAAGCCUCGGGUGGGAUGGGGGUCCCUUUCCAUCCUUUUUUCCCUCGCCCUGGGGUCCUCCCGGGACACCAAACCCGGGCUGAGAUCUCAAAUCCGGGCUGGGACCCCAAAUCCGGGCUGGGACCCUAAACCUGAACUCAGACCCCAAACCUGAACUCAGACACCAAACCCGGGCUGAGACACCAAACCCGGGCUGAGAUCCUAAACCUGAGCUGGGACCCCAAACCCUAACUCAGACCUCAAAUCUGAAAUCAGACCCCAAAUCCGGGCUGGGACCCCAAACCCGAGCUGGGACCCUAAACCCGAACUCAGACCCCAAACCUGAACUCAGACACCAAACCCGGGCUGAGAUCCUAAACCCGAGCUGGGACCCCAAACCCGAACUCAGACCUCAAAUCUGAAAUCAGACCCCAAACCUGAACUCAGACCCCAAACACGGGCUGGGACCUCAAACCCAGACUGGGACCCCAAAUCCGAGCUGGGACCCCAAAACCGCCCCACGAAAGGGUCGUGGGUGGGGCUCUGGCCCCACCUGGUGGCGGCGGGGGGAAGUGCAGGGGGACAGGGGGACCGAGAGGGGACAGAGGGAAGGGGGGGAUGGAUUGGGGG
rnacentral:lncRNA from 1 species